UAGCAAGAUAAAUGGCUUCUAAGCUAAUGUCAUAAACAAGGAAGUGUUACCUGUUGUAUUUAGAUACAAAACAAAUACUUACAUUGUUUUGACUGUCAGCGACAAAGCUGAAAUCAAAUUUCCCUUGAUCGGGCAAAAAUGCAUCUUCUUCCAAUGUUUGAGAAACACAGCACACAAGAACAGUUAGUGUAUGCAAAAUGGAAGUAUAAUAUGCCAUAUUUUAUUAUUUUUAAAAACAAUAAAAAUAAAUAAAUAUGCGGAUAUUGAAUGUGAUGAAU